UGGGGAAUUGUGCAAGGCAAAUGGGAACCCUGAUGCAGCGACGCCGCGUGAGCGAAGAAGUAUUUCGGUAUGUAAAGCUCUAUCAGCAGGGAAGAAAAUGACGGUACCUGACUAAGAAGCCCCGGCUAACUACGUGCCAGCAGCCGCGGUAAUACGUAGGGGGCAAGCGUUAUCCGGAUUUACUGGGUGUAAAGGGAGCGUAGACGGAUGUGCAAGUCUGAAGUGAAAGCCCGGGGCUCAACCCCGGGACUGCUUUGGAAACUGUGUAUCUAGAGUGCCGGAGAGGUAAGCGGAAUUCCCAGCGUAGCGGUGAAAUGCGUAGAUAUUGGGAGGAACACCAGUGGCGAAGGCGGCUUACUGGACGGUAACUGACGUUGAGGCUCGAAAGCGUGGGGAGCAAACAGGAUUAGAUACCC
rnacentral:rRNA from 1 species